UAAAAGGAGGUUGUGAGGCAGGGCACAGAGUGUCCAAGAGAGCAAACAAGACAUGAAGAGAAAAAAAAAAAAGCAGCAGAAAUUCAGAAAAUGAGAAUACUCCUGAGAGAGCGGAAAUGAGAAAAAGACACAAAAUGUCAUCCCAGGGGGAAGGUGACCAUUCUCUCUGUGGCAUCCAAAGAAAUAUUGCUUCUAUUUCCAGUGAUGCAUGUGGUGGUUUCAAGAUGGAACCUGAAGACUUGUGUGUCUGUUCCUCCCCAAGCACGAUGCCUGACAGUGACAGCUGAGGCAGAGUUCCAGCAAAGGAGAGCCGGACCGGAGCACAUUCAUUCAUCACACAUCCGCGCUGUGAGUGUAUAAAAAGCCGUGUGCCAUGGUGAACGCACGGUGCACAUCAAAGACUGCAUGCCUCUGCCCCGACCGAGCCAACGGCAGGGGGCAUUUCCGCAAGGUUCCAGAACUGCAUCCUAUUGGGUAAUAUGCCCCUCUAGACUGUAAGCUCGUUGUGGUCAAUCAUAUUUUGUGAGCACUUACUGCGUGCAGAGCACUAUAUU